rnacentral:rRNA from 1 species
AUUGAACGCUGGCGGCAUGCCUUACACAUGCAAGUCGAACGGCAGCACGGGAGCAAUCCUGGUGGCGAGUGGCGAACGGGCGAGUAAAGUAUCGGAACGUGCCCAGUCGUGGGGGAUAACGUAGCGAAAGUUACGCUAAUACCGCAUACGAUCUAUGGAUGAAAGCGGGGGAUCGCAAGACCUCGCGCGAUUGGAGCGGCCGAUAUCGGAUUAGGUAGUUGGUGGGGUAAAGGCUCACCAAGCCGACGAUCUGUAGCUGGUCUGAGAGGACGACCAGCCACACUGGGACUGAGACACGGCCCAGACUCCUACGGGAGGCAGCAGUGGGGAAUUUUGGACAAUGGGCGAAAGCCUGAUCUAGCCAUGCCGCGUGCAGGAUGAAGGCCUUCGGGUUGUAAACUGCUUUUGUACGGAACGAAAAGGUUUGGCCUAAUAAGCUGAGCUCAUGACGGUACCGUAAGAAUAAGCACCGGCUAACUACGUGCCAGCAGCCGCCGUAA